rnacentral:rRNA from 1 species
CCUACGGGGCGCAGCAGUGAGGAAUAUUGGUCAAUGGCCGGAAGGCUGAACCAGUUAUGCCGCGUGAAGGUCAGUGCCCUAUGGGCGUUAAACUUCUUUUGUGCGGGAGCAAUAAUGGUCACGUGUGGCCAGACGAGAGUACCGUACGAAUAAGCAUCGGCUAACUCCGUGCCAGCAGCCGCGGUAAUACGGGGGAUGCAAGCGUUAUCCGGAUUUAUUGGGUUUAAAGGGUGCGUAGGCUGUGAGGUAAGUCAGCGGGGAAAUGCCCCCGCUCAACGGGGUGAAGUGCCAUUGAUACUGCCUUGCUGGAAUGCGGAUGCCGUGGGAGGAAUGUGUGGUGUAGCGGUGAAAUGCAUAGAUAUCACACAGAACACCGAUUGCGAAGGCAUCUCACGAAUCCGCGAUUGACGCUGAUGCACGAAAGCGUGGGUAUCAAACAGGAUUAGAUACCCGUGUAGUC